CUUUGAGGAGCUUGCUUUUUAAAGCUUAGUGGCGGACGGGUGAGUAACGCGUGAGCAACCUGCCUCUCAGAGGGGGAUAACAGUUGGAAACGACUGCUAAUACCGCAUAAGCGCACAGGAUUGCAUGAUCCAGUGUGAAAAACUCCGGUGGUAUGAAAUGGACCCGCGUCUGAUUAGCCAGUUGGCGGGGUAACGGCCCACCAAAGCGACGAUCAGUAGCCGGACUGAGAGGUUGAACGGCCACAUUGGGACUGAGACACGGCCCAGACUCC
rnacentral:rRNA from 1 species